UACGGAAGGCAGCAGUGGGGAAUAUUGCACAAUGGGCGAAAGCCUGAUGCAGCUAUGCCGCGUGUAUGAAGAAGGCCUUAGGGUUGUAAAGUACUUUCAGCAGGGAGGAAAGAAAUAAAACUAAUAAUUUUAUUUUGUGACGUUACCUGAAGAAGAAGCACCGGCUAACUCCGUGCCAGCAGCCGCGGUAAUACGGAGGGUGCAAGCGUUAAUCAGAAUUACUGGGCGUAAAGAGCGCGUAGGUGGUUUUUUUAAGUCAGAUGUGAAAUCCCUAGGCUUAACCUAGGAACUGCAUUUUGAAACUGAAAACUAGAGUAUCGUAGAGGGAGGUAGAAUUCUAGGUGUAGCGGUGAAAUGCGUAGAUAUCUGGAGGAAUACCUGUGGCGAAAGCGGCCUCCUAAACGAAUACUGACACUGAGGUGCGAAAGCGUGGGGAGCAAACAGGGAUUAGAUACC
rnacentral:rRNA from 1 species